GACGAACGCCGGCGGCGUGCUUAACACAUGCAAGUCGAACGGAAAGGCCCUGCUUUUGUGGGGUGCUCGAGUGGCGAACGGGUGAGUAACACGUGAGUAACCUGCCCUUGACUUUGGGAUAACUUCAGGAAACUGGGGCUAAUACCGGAUAGGAGCUCCUGCUGCAUGGUGGGGGUUGGAAAGUUUCGGCGGUUGGGGAUGGACUCGCGGCUUAUCAGCUUGUUGGUGGGGUAGUGGCUUACCAAGGCUUUGACGGGUAGCCGGCCUGAGAGGGUGACCGGCCACAUUGGGACUGAGAUACGGCACAGACUCCUGCGGGAGGCAGCAGUGGGGAAUAUUGAACAAUGGGCGGAAGCCUGAUGCAGCAACGCCGCGUGCGGGAUGACGGCCUUCGGGUUGUAAACCGCUUUCGCCUGUGACGAAGCGUGAGUGACGGUGAUGGGUAAAGAAGCACCGGCUAAAUACGUG
rnacentral:rRNA from 1 species